rnacentral:lncRNA from 1 species
UGAUGUCUCCUCCACAGUGAGAAGCGUCCCUAGGUGACCUAUUAAUAUUGCACCACAGAAACCUAUGCCUCUUAAAUAAUUUGUGCAAACUUGUAGAAUAUAUUGAAAAGCAAAAGGAAACCAAGUAGAGAAAUAUUUUUUAGUUUCUUGAAAAAGUCACAUAAAUUAGUGAACCCUUGUGUCCUACAACAGUGAUUUUUUAAACUAUGGGUCACAACCCUUUAAUGAAUCCUGAAAUCAAUUUAAGGGUCAUGACCAGCACUUUUGUUUUUUGAACCAGGGUCAGCACCGUUGCCCAGUCUGGAGAGGGCAAAAUCAAUUUAAGAGUCAUGACCAGCACUUUUUUUUUUCUUCCUUGAUACAGGGUCAGCACUGUCCCCCAGGCUGGAGUGCAAUGGUGCAAUCAUAACUCACUGCAGCCUUCACCUUCCAAGCUCAAGCAAUUCUCCUGCCUCAGCCUCCGGAGUAACUGGGACUAUAGGCACGUGCCACCACGCCCAGCUAAUUUUUUUUUUUUUUUUUUUUUUUUUUUUUUUUUGUAGUGACAAGGUUUUGCCAUAUUGCCCAGGCUGGUCUGGAACUCCUGGAGUGAGCCACUGUGCCCGGCCAUGACCAGCACUUUUUAAUGAAAAUAUCUGUGUGUAGCACACAGUAGACUUAUUUUUGCUUCAAUUUACAUAUCGAUGAGUGUGUUCCUUUCCAGGUUCCCUCGUUCAUCCACCCUGAAUGAAGACAGAUACUCACCUGGUAAUGGCCUGAGAUCUGACUGAAGCCUGAGAGGUGACUCAGCCACAAGACACUCAGGGUUCAUUAGAAUUGUCUAGUCCCAGGUCUGCUUCCUCCAAGCGGUGAGACCUUGAGGCAUUGCAGUAACGCCUCUUGAGUCUUCCUUUUCUCAUUUUAAGGACAGGACUAAUACCUGUCCUGCCCUGCCUCAUGGGGUUGUAAUAAUGAUCAAAUGAAGUGGUGCUCUUGACCAGUGGCAAGAACUUCAGAAAUGUGAGUUGUAACAAUUUGUAUUUGUUAGCAGUAAAUAAAAGUGCUUGGAACCGGCAGCCUCUGGGGCAAUUAAAUAUAGAAGAUAAAACCCAUGCCUUUUGGAAACUAGCAUUCUUCCACAAAUACUGCUUCCAGACUACUAAAUGGAAGUUGUUUCUGGAAGAUGGAUAGAUUUAAGAAUCUUGGCCACGGAGCUCCUUUUUGCAUCCCACAGAAAGGGGCUCUGCUCACAAGGAAGUCUUCCUCCCUAGACUGAGCCUCCCAGAAGCACACCCUGAACAACUCUGCAGAGCUGAGCAGCAUACUUCCUGUCCUACAAGUACUGUUUUAGUGAUACCUGCUGCCUCCCAGAGAGAAGUGGCAGCAUCUCAUUGGUGGGGUUGGGGGAAUUAGGGAAUGCAUGUUAAUGUGAACCCCAAGAGUGAGUUGAUAGCUGGUGAAGAGGGAGAAGGUAGAGGUGAGGGCCUUUAGGUUGGCCGGCUGGGCUUGCCUUGCAGUCAGUAAAGCCCCCUCAUGCAGAGCCAUUCAUCUCCUGUUGGGAACGCUGACCUUUUGGUUCAGAUGCCUGAUAUAAACUCACUGAUAUGGGAGGGGAGGAUCUGAAUGGGUAGGAAGGAAACAGGGAAAGUUACUAGGACAGACAGAUUCUAAGGCUUCUCUGAAAGGAAGGAAGGAGUUGUGAUGUGCUACCGGGGAGGUCCAAGGGAGAAGGGCCUGGGCAGUGUGCACCACUGGUGAGGGUGUGAAAAAUGGGCUGGUGACUGGCCACCAAAUGGCUUGGGGAGAAGUGGCUGGAGAGAGGGUCACCUGUGUGGUGGGAGGGAUCGGACAAGUGUUUUUAGAUGUUAUGAGAAUGUCUAAGUUUGACACAAGACACUCCUAAGUUUGCAAAGAAAGGAUAUACAGUCACCUUCCUUCAAUAUCAGAAACAACAUGCUGGGGAUUAAAAAUAAAUACUUGGCCAAGAACCUGACCAUUUACCAGGUGCAUCCAUACAGUAAAUAUCUGAGUGUCUCUUACAUGCCUGGCAUGUCCCACUUCACCCACAGGAAGAAGUCCAUUUUAUAAAUGAAGAAACUGGGGCUCAAAGAAGUAUGUGAACCUAAGGUUUCAGUCUUCUUAAAUCCUGCUUCUUGAUCUCCUCUAAUACCAUAGCACACUCAAGAAAUGAGCAUCUUUAAUUGUGCUUGGAUUGGCAGAAUCUGCCUUUAGCUGGAGGAGCAGACGUAAUGGCUUUAAUGAGCUACUUAACUACUUUCUAGAGACAACCAAGAGACACUUGAAGAGCCCAGUCUGAGACCUGGUUCCACCUUUCCAUCCCUUCUGUGUCCCUGCCUCCAGCCCCCACCCCCAGGACACAUCUGGCAGUGAAGGGACUCCAAUUCCUGUUCUAGGGAGUGGCCCCCACUUGUGCUCAAAGUAUAAUUAAGUGGCUUAAAAGUAAGUGCAAGGGUCCGGAGAAGGACUUGACUGCAUGAGGGAACUUUUAGAGGUUAUAGAAAUGUUUCUACCAUAAUUGUGGCAUUGGUAACAUUUAACAAAACUCCUUGAAUUAUAUACCAAAUUGGUAAUUUUUAUUGUAUGUAAAUUAUAGUUCAAUAAAGCUGAUUUUUAAAAUACUCAAUGUAAAUCCUGAUAUGUGCAUUCAUUGUAUGUAAAUUCUACAUCAGAAAGGAAAAAACUAAACAGUUGUUGAAUUCCAGUUAAUGAUAUACAUGCUGAAGUAUUUAGGGGCAAGCAUAUAGAUAUCUGCAGUUUACUCUGAAAUGCAUAAAAUGUAAGAUAUAUUAAUGGACAAGUAGAUACAUGAUCAGGCAAGUAAAUAAAAAUGUAAUUGUCCAAUCUAAGUGGUCAAUUUACAAGCUGCCAUUGUAAAAUUAUUCUUUGAUGUGUUUGAAAAUGUCAUUAUACAAUGUUGGGGGAAACCAGGUGACUUCAGGUUUUUGGCAGAGCCAAAGAGUUCCUAUUGGACCAAUUCUUUAGCAAAUAAAAACUGUAAGCUCUGGAAAAAAACCUUCUUUAAAAACCAACUUCUUAAAGAUACUGAAAUAGACCAAAAGCAGGCAGAUACCGGAGAGGAGUCAGUGGAGGAAGGGCACGGGACUGUGUGAGUUACCUGUUUUUUUACCACCGUUAGCCUGAGGCCAGGUGUCCGUGCACUGUGCAGGACAGGUAAGCCUCCAGUGUACAAUCUACAGUCUCGCUGGCUUGAGGAACCAGAGUAGAGAGUUCAGAGCAUCACAGCCUCUCGAGAGUAAAGGGGGAAAUAACAGAAAAGCAAGCCAGAGAGGGGAUUCCUAAAUUCUGUAUAUAAACUGCUCAAAUCUCUAGCUGACCACUGAACUAUGCAUGCAGAACUAAGGCUGAAAGAACUGAACUAAAAGUUGAACUACUUCCCACUGCAGGGGAAACAGUUUUGUCACUGAGUUCAACCAAGUUAACUGCAUGUUUUAAAAUAAUUAUUUUUCAGAGGAAUAUAAGAGAAUCCUGAGUUUCUACAACACAAUGUAAAUUAUACACUAAAUACAAUGUCUAGGAUACAAUCCAAAAUUACUCACUAUCUGAAUAAACAAAAAAGUAUGCCUCAUUCUCACGAGAAGAGACAAAGGAGAUCAACCCCAAGAAGUUCUAGUCAAAGCUAUUAAAGCAGCUAUUAAAACUGUGCAAGAAUGUGAAAAAAGUUCCCAUGGUAAUGGCCGAAAAACUCCCAAAUUUGGUGACAGACAUAAAGUUACAGAUUCAAGAAGUUCAGUGAAUAAUAAGCAGGAUUAAUACAAAGAAAACCCCAUCUAGGUGCAUCAUAGUCUACUGAAGACCAAACUUAAAGAGAAAAUAUUGAAAUCAGCUACAGGAAACUAGGGAGUAAUGAUUUAAAUGACUGCUGACCUCUCUUUAGAAACAUUGGAGGCCAGAAGACAGUGCAACAUCAUCUUUAACACGCUGAAAGGAAAAAAAAGUCACCCCAGAGAUCUGUAUCCAGCAAAAAUAUAUUUCAAGAAUGAAUACAAAAAAAAACUAAUAUUUUCAGAUAAAAGGAAACUAAGAGAAUUUGCAGAUCUAAAUUACAAGAAAUGCUAGAGGAAGUUCUUCAGGCUAACGGGAGAUUUUACCAGAGGGAAACUCAAAUCUUUAAGAAGGAAUAAAAGCCACUGAAAAUAGUAAACAUCCGAGUAAAUACAAAGGAUGUCUUCUUUCUCCUCUUUAAACUGUGCAUUACUGUUUAAAGUAAACAAUAGGCAGGUGCGGUGGCUCACACCUGUUAUCCCAGCACUUGGGGAGGCCAAGGCGGGUGUAUCACGAGAACAAGAGAUCAAGACCAUUCUGGCCAAUAUGGUGAAACCUCAUCUCUACUAAAAAUAAAAAAAUUAGCUGGGCAUGGUGGCACAUGCCUGUAGUCCCAGCUACUCAGGAGGCUGAGGCAGGGGAAUAGCUUGAACCCAGGAGGUGGAGGUUGCAGUGAGCCGAGAUUGUGCCACUGCACUCCAGCCUGGCGACAGAGCAAGACUCCAUCUCAAAAAAGGCAAAAACAAAAACAAAAACAAUUGGUGGGAUUUUAGCAUAUGUAAAUAAUUUGAAUGACAAUCAUGGCAUAAUAGAUGCAGGGAAGGGAAUAGGAAAGGAUCCUAUACAGUAAGCUAUCUAUAUUUUAUGCAAAGUGAUACCAUGUUAGUUAGCUCUUAACUGUGAAACGUUCAUCCCUGGAACAACCACUUAAUAAUGUAGAGAUAGAGCUAAAAAGCCAAUAGAUAAAAAUGUCUGCUCUGAGAAAGACACCAUUAAGAGAAUAAAAAGACCAGCCACAGACUGGGAGAAAAUAUUUGCAAAACAGUUAUCUGAUAAAGCCCUGUUAACCAAAAUAUACAAAGAAUUUUUACAAUUCAACAAUAAGAAAACAAUGAGAUUAAAAGAUGGGCCAAACGAGGAGUUUGAGACCAGUCUGGGCAACAAGGAAAAAAAAAAAAAAAAAACUUAGCUGGGCAUGGUGGUGCAUGCCUGUAGUCCCAGCUACCUGAGAGGCUGAGGCAGAAGGAUCACUUGAGCCUAGGAGUUCAAGGCUAUAGUGAGCUAUGAUUGUGCCACUAAAUUCCAGCCUGGGCAACCGAGCAAGGCUCUGUCCCUUAAAAAGAAAUAGGCUAAAGACACCUCACCAAAAUAUACAUGUGGCAAAUACACAUAGGAAAAGAUGCUCCACACAUCAUAUGUCAUCAGAGAAGUAUAAAUUAAGACAAUGAGAUACCACUACACAUUUAUUAGAAUGGCCAAAAUCCAGAACACUGACAUCACCAAAUGCUGGCAAGGAUAUCGA